GAUGAACGCUGGCGGCGUGCCUAAUACAUGCAAGUCGAGCGAACAGACGAGGAGCUUGCUCCUCUGACGUUAGCGGCGGACGGGUGAGUAACACGUGGAUAACCUACCUAUAAGACUGGGAUAACUUCGGGAAACCGGAGCUAAUACCGGAUAAUAUAUUGAACCGCAUGGUUCAAUAGUGAAAGACGGUUUUGCUGUCACUUAUAGAUGGAUCCGGGCCGGAUUAGCUAGUUGGUAAGGUAACGGCCUACCAAGGCAACGAUGCGUAGCCGACGUGAGAGGGUGGUCGGCCACACGGGAACUGAGACACGGUCCAGACUCCUACGGGAGGCAGCAGUAGGGAAUCUUACGCAAUGGGCGAAAGCCUGACGGAGCAACGCCGCGUGAGUGAUGAAGGUCUUCGGAUCGUAAAACUCUGUUAUUAGGGGAGAACAAAUGUGUAAGUAACUAUGCACGUCUUGACGGUACCUAAUCAGAAAGCCACGGCUAACUACGUG
rnacentral:rRNA from 1 species